rnacentral:rRNA from 1 species
UGUGCCAGCAGCUGCGGUUAUAUUCAUAAGUAAAUCAGAAAAUUAAAGAAUUGAUACAAAUAAUUAUUUUCUUAGUCUAAUAGAAUAAAUAAUAAAUAUUACUGUGAUAAUAAAAAUAAAAUAAAAAAAUGGAUUAGUACCCAUGUAUUACACCCUAUUCUAUAAUAGUAAAAAUAAAAUUAAAAUCUCAUGGCUGCGUUUAUUAAGAAUUAUUAGAGAAUUUUGGAAAAUAAAUUGAUACCCCCCAAUUUUAUUUACUUUUCAAACACAUUCAACGUAUGGCUGUGUGAAAAUUAUACAGAUAGUUUUAUUAUCAAGUUACAUGUAAUUUGAAUAGGAAUUUCUAAAAUGCGAUUUAUACAUAAAAAUGUUGAUUAUUUACUGUAAGUAUUUAAUAGUAGGGAGCUAUCAUUCUCGAAUAAAUUCUUAAAAGGGUUCAAAUCGUCCGUCAUUCUCUAUUA